rnacentral:rRNA from 1 species
UACAGAGGUCUCAAGCGUUGUUCGGAUUCAUUGGGCGUAAAGGGUGCGUAGGCGGCGCGGUAAGUCGGGUGUGAAAUCUCGGAGCUUAACUCCGAAACUGCAUUCGAUACUGCCGUGCUUGAGGACUGGAGAGGAGACUGGAAUUUACGGUGUAGCGGUGAAAUGCGUAGAUAUCAGGAGGAACACCGGUGGCGAAGGCGGCAUCCUGGACCGGUAUUGACGCUGAGGCGCGAAAGCUAGGGGAGCAAACGGG